rnacentral:lncRNA from 1 species
CCACAUAAUCAUAUUUCAACCACAACAUCUCACCUCAAUACAUCCGUGAACUAACAGCACAAGUAAGGGAUUCAAACCAACAUAUAAACAAGUCAAACAGCACAAUCACAGAGAAGUAAUACAAGGAAACACAACCAAAUACAAAUGUGCAAACAACAUGAUGCAUGUCUAUUCCUAAUGCAGGCCAUGAGCUCAUGUGUCGGUUGCC